rnacentral:rRNA from 1 species
AUUGAACGCUGGCGGCAUGCCUUACACAUGCAAGUCGAACGGCAGCGCGGACUUCGGUCUGGCGGCGAGUGGCGAACGGGUGAGUAAUGUAUCGGAACGUACCAUUCAGUGGGGGAUAACGCAGCGAAAGUUGCGCUAAUACCGCAUAUUCUGUGCGCAGGAAAGCAGGGGAUCGCAAGACCUCGCGCGAAUGGAGCGGCCGAUGUCAGAUUAGGUAGUUGGUGGGGUAAAGGCUCACCAAGCCAACGAUCUGUAGCUGGUCUGAGAGGACGACCAGCCACACGGGGACUGAGACACGGCCCAGACUCCUACGGGAGGCAGCAGUGGGGAAUUUUGGACAAUGGGCGCAAGCCUGAUCCAGCCAUUCCGCGUGCAGGAUGAAGGCCUUCGGGUUGUAAACUGCUUUUGUACGGAACGAAACGGUUCUCUCUAAUACAGGGGGCUAAUGACGGUACCGUAAGAAUAAGCACCGGCUAACUACGUGCCAGCCGCCGCGGUAACAC